AGAGUUUGAUCCUGGCUCAGGAUGAACGCUAGCGACAGGCUUAACACAUGCAAGUCGAGGGGCAGCGGGGGCGAAAGCUUGCUUUCGCCUGCCGGCGACCGGCGCACGGGUGAGUAACACGUAUGCAACCUGCCCACCGCAGGGGGAUAAGCCGGAGAAAUCCGGUCUAAUACCGCGUAACAUCCCCGGGAGACAUCUUCCGGGGAUCAAAGGAAGCGAUUCCGGCGGUGGAUGGGCAUGCGGCGCAUUAGCUAGUCGGCGGGGUAACGGCCCACCGAGGCGACGAUGCGUAGGGGUUCUGAGAGGAAGGUCCCCCACACUGGUACUGAGACACGGACCAGACUCCUACGGGAGGCAGCAGUGAGGAAUAUUGGUCAAUGGGCGGAAGCCUGAACCAGCCAAGUCGCGUGAGGGAAGACGGUCCUAUGGAUUGUAAACCUCUUUUGUCAGGGAGCAAGAAGGGAACGCGUUCCCGCCUGAGAGUACCUGAAGAAAAAGCAUCGGCUAACUCCGUGCCAGCAGCCGCGGUAAUACGGAGGAUGCGAGCGUUAUCCGGAUUUAUUGGGUUUAAAGGGUGCGUAGGCGGACGGUUAAGUCAGCGGUAAAAUCGAGAGGCUCAACCUCUUCCGGCCGUUGAAACUGGCCAUCUUGAGUGAGCGAGAAGUAUGCGGAAUGCGUGGUGUAGCGGUGAAAUGCAUAGAUAUCACGCAGAACUCCGAUUGCGAAGGCAGCAUACCGGCGCUCAACUGACGCUGAAGCACGAAAGCGUGGGGAUCAAACAGGAUUAGAUACCCUGGUAGUCCACGCAGUAAACGAUGAAUACUAACUGUCCGGCCCGAAUGAGGGCUGGGUGAUACAGCGAAAGCGUUAAGUAUUCCACCUGGGGAGUACGCCGGCAACGGUGAAACUCAAAGGAAUUGACGGGGGCCCGCACAAGCGGAGGAACAUGUGGUUUAAUUCGAUGAUACGCGAGGAACCUUACCCGGGCUCAAACGCGGAGUGACAGGCGGUGAAAGCCGUUCUUCCUUCGGGACACUCCGCGAGGUGCUGCAUGGUUGUCGUCAGCUCGUGCCGUGAGGUGUCGGCUUAAGUGCCAUAACGAGCGCAACCCCUAUCGACAGUUGCUAACAGGCAAGGCUGAGGACUCUGUCGAGACUGCCGGCGCAAGCUGAGAGGAAGGCGGGGAUGACGUCAAAUCAGCACGGCCCUUACGUCCGGGGCGACACACGUGUUACAAUGGCAGGUACAGCGGGAAGCCACCAGGCGACUGGGAGCGGAACCCGAAAACCUGUCUCAGUUCGGAUUGGAGUCUGCAACCCGACUCCAUGAAGCUGGAUUCGCUAGUAAUCGCGCAUCAGCCAUGGCGCGGUGAAUACGUUCCCGGGCCUUGUACACACCGCCCGUCAAGCCAUGGAAGCCGGGAGUGCCUGAAGUACGUGAGCGCAAGCAGCGUCCUAGGGUAAAACCGGUGACUGGGGCUAAGUCGUAACAAGGUAACC
rnacentral:rRNA from 1 species